ensembl:misc_RNA Y_RNA Y RNA
GGCUGGUCUGAGUGCAGUGGUGAUUAUGACUAAUUGGUCACAACCAAUUACAGAUUUACUUGUCACUUUUCUACUCCUACUGCUUCAGUUGAAUAGCCAAAA